rnacentral:lncRNA from 1 species
AAAGAUAAUGAACCAUACUGUGAAUGAUCAGGUGAGCAGGGACUGAUAAGUUGGAAGAGGAGGAGGCAAUUUAGAGGAUUUAUUUAAUCAGAGUCCUAGAGUUGAAGGCAGAGAUGAGAAGGAGAGGACUAAAAUGGCCAGGGUGCCAACAAUAAUGUGAAUGAGUUUAAAGUAAGAAGAGAUCUAUGGAAGUGAAUAAAAAGGGCACAUGGAGGAUGCUGGGUGCUGGGCAGGCAUAUCAUAUCAUAUAAUCAUCUCAACUCCAAAUAUGACGUUGGCACUGUUAUUUCCAUUUUACAAAUGAAGAGAUGAGGUUGAGAGGUAUCGUUUAUUAUCUUGGCCUAUAAGUACAUGGAAGAGUUGGAAUUCGAACUGAGAGCCAGGAUAUGAACUUACAAGUGCCUUGCUUUAGCACUGCCUGUCCCAGAAGGAUUGUACCUUUCUGCUUCUCCAGAAACUAACUAAAGAUUUUCUCACCUGCUGAGAGUUGAGGAUGUUGCUUCAGGCAUGUUCAGACUUCUGGAGGGGAGCAUUGACCUGAAACCACAGUGGG